CUGUAUGUCUGUUGGGUUUGUAUACCUAUAUCAGUGUACCUGUGUGCCAGUGUGUAUGUGUAUCUGUGUAUGUGGUCUGGCCACUUGGCCAGUUCAGCGCUAUCAAAAGGCGGAAUGGGCACCGCCUUAGGGCACACUGGCCUGAGGGGCGCAAAUUUCCAAGUGACUGGCUGGAAGGAAGGACACAGUGCUCCUCUCCUGCUGAUCAAUUCAGGUAGUGUGACCAAGCUCUGCCAAUACCUCUGUCUGGCCCACAGGCUCUGGAGAAUGCCACACAGCAUGGCAUUGCCUUAGUAAUGAGGCCGGGCUGAGAGGGGUGGCAAAUGCAGGGACUGCCCUGGGGGGCAAAAGCUCUAGCUACGUCACUGGUGGUAGACACGAUGUGGUACAAGACUGUUUUUGUAUUUUUUUUCUUCAUG